rnacentral:lncRNA from 1 species
CCCAUCAUUACUACACGUAUUGGAAAUGAUGAGAACAAGAAUGUUCACCGAAGAGCGAUCAGUGGGCGUAUUAGCGUUGGAAUUAGCAGGUCAAUUCUCCCCACCACACCUUGACUUUUACCAACCCGGUAGGAAAGCUCGCGAAUUUUUACUCGGACCUCUGCAAAAAAUAGGUCGGAGCUUUUGAUGGAGUUAUUCCCAGGCCGGUGGAACGUUGAAACGGGGCGAAGAUGAAACGGGGAAACAGGUGGAAUAAGUACGAUUACAGAAAAAGCACUUCUGAAUGGCACAUACAAGAUUCUUGCUCCCUUACUAAAUUAUCCUUGAACGAUCGUCGUAAUGCCUUUGGCUCUGGAAUGCAAACUUCGUAUGGCAUUCCUCCGUUCUCUAUCACCCAAAUGCUGCCGUGCUCUCCAGCGUAUAGGACCGUCAUCAAACCUUUUGCAACGUUAGCAAUAUCUGGGGACAUAGAACUCACGUUUGGAUUGGUAGUUGUUCGAGAUUCUUGACAAAGUCUGCUUUCAUAACCCUAGAUAAUAACUUGUUGGGACUGUCUAUUGUCAAAGCAGUUUCCGUUAGGCCCGGACAUAAGGUCAUUACUCGAAUACCACUUUCUUCAAAGAUAUGCGCAGCCUAAAAAUUUUUACCCCUAGAGAAUUGGAGAACCCAAUAGUCGCCCACUUAGUAGCUGUGUAAAUGGGUAACUGAGCACUAGUUUCACAAUUU